CCUACGGGAGGCAGCAGUAGGGAAUCUUCCACAAUGGGCGCAAGCCUGAUGGAGCAAUGCCGCGUGGGUGAAGAAGGUCUUCGGAUCGUAAAACUCUGUUGUUAGAGAAGAAAGUGCGUGAGAGUAACUGUUCACGUUUCGACGGUAUCUAACCAGAAAGCCACGGCUAACUACGUGCCAGCAGCCGCGGUAAUACGUAGGUGGCAAGCGUUAUCCGGAUUUAUUGGGCGUAAAGGGAACGCCGGCGGUCUUUUAAGUCUGGUGUGAAAGCCUUCGGCUUAACCGGAGUAGUGCAUUGGAAACUGGGAGACUUGAGUGCAGAAGAGGAGAGUGGAACUCCAUGUGUAGCGGUGAAAUGCGUAGAUAUAUGGAAGAACACCAGUGGCGAAAGCGGCUCUCUGGUCUGUAACUGACGCUGAGGUUCGAAAGCGUGGGUAGCAAACAGGAUUAGAUACCCCUGUAGUC
rnacentral:rRNA from 1 species